AAAAAAAGCAAAAUGGGGGAUUUCCCUUAUAAAGAAAUGUAUGGAAAUUUUGUGACCUGUCAAAAAUUACAAUCAAUUUUGCAAAACAAAACAAUGGGUUUCGGAUUUUAAGAACCAAAAAUCUUUAUAAUGAAGAGAGGAUAUACAAAGUUCACUUAAUUAAAUAAAAAAUGCUGCCAAUAACAUACUAUAAUGCAGGAAGCAUUUUCCUUGAAGAAAUCUGGGAGACAAAGCAACAAGGUGCUGAUUUGCAGGCAAGUUUUGUGUAUAUUAUAUUUCUCUUAAAAAAUAAUAUUAAUGUUUUUAA